rnacentral:rRNA from 1 species
CACGGAGUUAGCCGAUCCUUAUUCGUACGAUACCGUCAAACCAAUACACGUAAAGGUGUUUUUCUCGUACAAAAGCAGUUUACAACCCAUAAGGCAGUCUUCCUGCACGCGGCAUGGCUGGAUCAGGCUCUCGCCCAUUGUCCAAUAUUCCUCACUGCUGCCUCCCGUAGGAGUCUGGUCCGUGUCUCAGUACCAGUGUGGGGGAUACCCCUCUCAGGGCCCCUACCCAUCAUAGCUUUGGUGAGCCGUUACCUCACCAACUGGCUAAUGGGACGCACGCUCAUCUUGUACCGAUAAAUCUUUAAUUAAUAACCAAUGCUGAUCAAUAAUACUAUGGGGUAUUAAUCCAAGUUUCCCUGGGCUAUCCCCCUGUACAAGGUAGAUUGCGUACGCGAUACUCACCCAUCCGCCGGUCUCUAAUUGCCGAAGCAAUUAUACCCCUCGACUUGCAUGUGUUAAGCCUGCCGCUAGCGUUCAUCCUGAGCCAGGAUCAAACUCU